rnacentral:tRNA from 1 species
AAAGUUUUAAGUUUAAAUUAAACUAUUAACCUUCAAAGUUAAAAAUACAUUAUAUGUAAGCUUUA